rnacentral:rRNA from 1 species
AUUGAACGCUGGCGGCAGGCCUAACACAUGCAAGUCGAACGGUAACAGGAAGAAGCUUGCUUCUUUGCUGACGAGUGGCGGACGGGUGAGUAAUGUCUGGGAAACUGCCUGAUGGAGGGGGAUAACUACUGGAAACGGUAGCUAAUACCGCAUAUUGUCGCAAGACCAAAGAGGGGGACCUUCGGGCCUCUUGCCAUCGGAUGUGCCCAGAUGGGAUUAGCUAGUAGGUGGGGUAACGGCUCACCUAGGCGACGAUCCCUAGCUGGUCUGAGAGGAUGACCAGCCACACUGGAACUGAGACACGGUCCAGACUCCUACGGGAGGCAGCAGUGGGGAAUAUUGCACAAUGGGCGCAAGCCUGAUGCAGCUAUGCCGCGUGUAUGAAGAAGGCCUUCGGGUUGUAAAGUACUUUCAGCGGGGAGGAAGGGAGUAAAGUUAAUACCUUUGCUCAUUGACGUUACCCGCAGAAGAAGCACCGGCUAACUCCGUG